AUGAAACUGGAGUCAAGUAAUGAGAAAUAUUCCAGUGGCAAUCAAGAGGUGAAUCGUAAACAUUCCGAAGGAGACAAGUCAUCCACCCAUCCAACAGAAAGUGUAGGCAGUUUAAGGCUAACAGCACUUGAUCUGGGCAAUAACAGCGCACCAGUUUCAUCUAGUUCUGUGCAUAAGAAGAUGUUCAAGCUGGAGGAUGUGGCGAUGGGAAUAUGGAUCAAUGAGAUGAAGGAAGGCUUUGAUGUCAAUUACGAGAAAACUAGAUACCCACCAAGAUACAUCAUAGAAAGAUAUGUCGGUCGGGAAAGGGUUUUCCCGUCUGGACUUUCCCCAACAGACAGGGUCGGUCGGCAAUAG
rnacentral:rRNA from 1 species